GAUGAACGCUGGCGGCGUGCCUAAUACAUGCAAGUCGAGCGAACGGACGAGAAGCUUGCUUUUCUGAUGUUAGCGGCGGACGGGUGAGUAACACGUGGAUAACCUACCUAUAAGACUGGGAUAACUUCGGGAAACCGGCGCUAAUACCGGAUAAUAUUUUGAACCGCAUGGUUCAAAAGUGAAAGACGGUCUUGCUGUCCCUUAUAGAUGGAUCCGCGCUGCAUUAGCUAGUUGGUAAGGUAACGGCUUACCAAGGCAACGAUGCAUAGCCGACCUGAGAGGGUGAUCGGCCACACUGGAACUGAGACACGGUCCAGACUCCUACGGGAGGCAGCAGUAGGGAAUCUUCCGCAAUGGGCGAAAGCCUGACGGAGCAACGCCGCGUGAGUGAUGAAGGUCUUCGGAUCGUAAAACUCUGUUAUUAGGGAAGAACAUAUGUGUAAGUAACUGUGCACAUCUUGACGGUACCUAAUCAGAGAGCCACGGCUAACUACGUG
rnacentral:rRNA from 1 species